GACGAACGCUGGCGGUGUGCUUAACACAUGCAAGUCGAACGGAAAGGCCCUGCUUUUGUGGGGUGCUCGAGUGGCGAACGGGUGAGUAACACGUGAGCAACCUGCCCUUGAUUUUGGGGUAACUUCAGGAAACUGGGGCUACUACCGGAUAGGAGCUCCUGUUCCAUGGAGGGCGGUGGAAAGUCUCGGCGGUUGGGGAUGGACUCGCGGCUUAUGAGCUUGUUGGUGGGGUAGUGGCUUACCAAGGCUUCGGCGGGUAGCCGGCCUGAGAGGGUGACCGGCCACAUUGGGACUGAGGUACGGCCCAGACUCCUACGGGAGGCAGCAGUGGGGAAUAUUGCACAAUGGGCGGAAGCCUGAUGCAGCAACGCCGGGUGCGGGAUGACGGCCUUCGGGUUGUAAACCGCUUUCGCCUGUGACGAAGCGUGAGUGACGGUAAUGGGUAAAGAAGCACCGGCUAACUACGUG
rnacentral:rRNA from 1 species